rnacentral:tRNA from 1 species
GGGGCUAUAGCUCAGUGGUAGUGCACGUGCUUCGCAAUGCAUGAGGUCCUGGGUUCAAUUUCUAGCACCUCCA